GCCAGGCAUGGUGGUGCAUGCCGGUAGUCCCAGCUACUCGGGAGGCUGAGGUGGGAGGAUCGCUUGAGCCCAGGAGGUCAAGGCUGCAGUGAGCUAGGAUUGCACCACUGCACUCCAGCCUGGGCGACAGAGCGAGACCCUGUCUCUA
rfam:Homo sapiens chromosome 17, GRCh38 reference primary assembly.